GUCUCGGAUAACUUAACUGGUAGAGCCUUUGGCACGUAACCGAACAAUCCGGGUUCGAGUCCCGGUCCAGGCU
rnacentral:tRNA from 1 species